rnacentral:rRNA from 1 species
AGCGAACGCUGGCGGCAGGCCUAACACAUGCAAGUCGAACGAAGUCUUCGGACUUAGUGGCGGACGGGUGAGUAACACGUGGGAACGUACCUUUUGGUUCGGAACAACUCAGGGAAACUUGAGCUAAUACCGAAUGUGCCCUUAGGGGGAAAGAUUUAUCGCCAUUAGAGCGGCCCGCGUUAGAUUAGCUAGUUGGUGGGGUAAAGGCCCACCAAGGCUACGAUCUAUAGCUGGUCUGAGAGGAUGAUGAGCCACACUGGGACUGAGACACGGCCCAGACUCCUACGGGAGGCAGCAGUGGGGAAUCUUGCGCAAUGGGCAAAAGCCUGACGCAGCCAUGCCGCGUGAAUGAUGAAGGUCUUAGGAUUGUAAAAUUCUUUCAGUAGGGACGAUAAUGACGGUACCUACAGAAGAAGCCCCGGCUAACUUCGUGCCAGCAGCCGCCGUAAGAC